rnacentral:rRNA from 1 species
AGAGUUUGAUCAUGGCUCAGAGCGAACGCUGGCGGCAGGCUUAACACAUGCAAGUCGAACGCCCCGCAAGGGGAGUGGCAGACGGGUGAGUAACACGUGGGAACGUACCCUUUGGUUCGGAAUAACUUGGGGAAACUCAAGCUAAUACCGGAUAAGCCCUUAUGGGGAAAGGUUUACUGCCGAAGGAUCGGCCCGCGUCUGAUUAGCUAGUUGGUGAGGUAAUGGCUCACCAAGGCGACGAUCAGUAGCUGGUCUGAGAGGAUGAUCAGCCACACUGGGACUGAGACACGGCCCAGACUCCUACGGGAGGCAGCAGUGGGGAAUAUUGGACAAUGGGGGCAACCCUGAUCCAGCCAUGCCGCGUGAGUGAUGAAGGCCUUAGGGUUGUAAAGCUCUUUUACCCGGGACGAUAAUGACUGUACCGGGAGAAUAAGCCCCGGCUAACUUCGUGCCAGCAGCCGCGGUAAUACGAAGGGGGCUAGCGUUGCUCGGAAUCACUGGGCGUAAAGCGCACGUAGGCGGAUCCUUAAGUCAGAGGUGAAAUCCCAAGGCUCAACCUUGGAACGGCCUUUGAUACUGGGGAUCUCGAGUCCGGAAGAGGUUGGUGGAACUGCGAGUGUAGAGGUGAAAUUCGUAGAUAUUCGCAAGAACACCAGUGGCGAAGGCGGCCAACUGGUCCGGCACUGACGCUGAGGUGCGA